UACGUAGGGUGCAAGCGUUAAUCGGAAUUACUGGGCGUAAAGGGCUCGUAGGCGGCCAACUAAGUCAGACGUGAAAUCCCUCGGCUUAACCGGGGAACUGCGUCUGAUACUGGAUGGCUUGAGUUCGGGAGAGGGAUGUGGAAUUCCAGGUGUAGCGGUGAAAUGCGUAGAUAUCUGGAGGAACACCGGUGGCGAAGGCGGCAUCCUGGACCGACACUGACGCUGAUGAGCGAAAGCCAGGGGAGCAAACGGG
rnacentral:rRNA from 1 species